UGCUCACGGAUGAGAGCAGAGGCGAGGAGAGGGGAAAUUGGGAGGGGGAGGUGCUCGGGCGCGCGGCUGUGCCCACUUCUAUCUGAGCGCGGGGGGGAGGAGAGGAGUGGGGAGCGAAUGUGGGAGCGGGGGGUGCCGUGCGGUUCGGAGCCGAGAGGAGGGCACGGGCGGGCGGUUGGAGAAGAGGGAGCUGACAGGCGGGCCCGGCCUGUCAGCGGGUGAGAGAGAGAGGGGAAGGGGGAGCGGCCGGCUGGCUGGGCCUGGCCCAAGAAGAAGGGGAGAGAGGGCGCGCGGGGGAUCUAGGCCAAAAGGCCGAAAGAAAGAAAGGGGGAGAGAAGGUUUUGCUUUUUUUUUCUUUUUCAAAUAAAUUUUCAAACUCAUUUUAAAAUUGAAUUUGAAUUCAAACUCUUUUGUUCAAAACCACACAUCACAAAAGAAAUUGCGCCAGCAUGAAUGCAGCAUAAAAUGUUAAUCUAAACUUAUAUUUAAUUUUAAUUUCCCAAAUUUAUUUAUUUUUCCUAUAUUUUGAUGCUCACAUAAAUGAAUUUAAUUAAACUCAAUUCUUCUAUUUUAAUGAAAUAAAAUUUGGGUGUUACAAAGGUCUUGUGUUCUUGCAUGUCUUUUCAGUUUUGUCGUGUUCAUGCAUGUCUUUUCGAUCGGUUUUGUCGUGUUCAUGCAUGUCUUCCCAAGGAGUCAAAAUGCAUACAAGCCAACGCAAGAAAAGUAUGUUGUUGGUGAGCGCGAACAUGACCGGAGAGCUUAGAGAUGUUGGAAAUAGAUGUAUGCUGUUCAUGUAGCUAUUAGACACCAAAUGGUUGGCCAAACGUGCCUCUUACCAGAGACGCCCGCUCACCUGGCAGUUAAUAUGUGGUGCACGUAUUUUAAGUUGUUACUUUGUUAUAGAAUAUUCAAGCAAAAAGAAUAGUCAAGUCUUCAUCCGUAGCAAUAUAUGUGACGUCGACGGUACCUAGGAGCAAACGGUCCACAUACAUAUAUCACCGUCACCCAGCUAUAGUCCAAAGCUAUAGUCCACUACUGACAGCUAUGUAGACAAUAAUUUUUUGGACUUACUGAUGACAAAUGUUGGAAUAAAAUUACAAAAAAGGAUAAACCGUCUGACUAAAAUUUUUGGACUAGUGAAGCGGCCGAACAAAACUUGACUAUAUAUUCCAUGGAAAAAUUUAAGUUUUUUUCAAUAAAAGAUGAAUUAUAUUAGAUAAUUGCUGGGUGCAUCAACACAUUACGAACACUAUGGGUUACACUAUAAAUACCUAGAAACUGAUUUUCAUCUAAAUUAUAUACCGAUAUUAUACGACGCUUUGCAGUAUGAAUAACUGCACAGGCAAAUACUCGGCAAAAGACCUGAGAACAAUAUCUAACGAACGACAGCCAACAUUUAUGUUGGUGGACUUGAGAAACUUCUUUUUUAAGUCUUCCUUCUUCUUUUUUCUACCACCGAACAAAAUGGGGAAGACGGAUCUUAACCACAAUAAAACGAAUAAAAGAUCAGAGAAAAUUAUUCCAUGGUGGCGACACAUAUUUCAGAAAUAAAAGUCUCUAUAUGUCGUCAUGCUGGUGAGGAUGUUGGUGCCGUAGUUGUCGCUCUCAUCUUUCAAACUAUAAUUUUGUGCAUGAUCCUUCGGCAAACAUGCUACAAACCAAUCCAUUAAAGAGACGUCCUACAAUUUAGCCGACAUUCCACAGCACAUCUGGUAACCCUGUAAAUGUUAAAUUUCAUGUGAGUUUUUUUAAAUUCUUUGAAGUGUUUCUUAAUUAAAAGCUUGCUACAAUACUUGGCAAAAAGGAUUACACCUACUACUAGUCAGUCUUUGCCAUCUCUUUCUAUUACUAUUUCGUUCUGCCUGCCUACUCGAGUCACGGUCAAUGAAAAAAGGAUAUACCUUUACAAAGACAAUCUCUAUUAUUCACAAGUAGUGUUGACGCCGGAAAUCAACACUGGCCUUUACAAAGACCAUCUCUAUUAUUCACAAGUAGUGUUGACGCCCGAAAUCAACACUGGAGUCGCUAUCACUUUUGAAGAAGCGUCACAACACUAAACGAAAAUUGGACUUUGCCAACUACUAGAAUCAUUUGCCACCUGCCAACAGGGCAGUCAGCAAACAUAUACUUUGCCGACCUCCCCUAUAAGCAGUCGGUAAAGGAGUCUUUGCCGACUGUCCUAAUUUCCUGAGCUGUCGGCCACUCCAAGCAGUCGGCAAAGACGUCCUUUGUCGAUUGCUGGCAAAGAAAAGCUGGUGGCAAAGGUGGCUGGGGCCAAACGGCGCCCAUCGUCGUCCCUUUUGCCACCUGCCAGGUCGUCAGACAGUCGGCAAAGAUAAAAUUUUUUAUUUUUGAAAUUUGAAUUUAGGUCACUACUACAGUAAAGCACAACAGGGGCGGCUAAAUAAGCUCUAUAAGAGCGGCUGGCCCAGCAGCUCUUAUGCAAACGCUCUUACAGUGGAAUUCACUGUAAGGACGGUUCAACACCAGCCGCUCUUACAGUGGGCCACUGUAAGGGCGUUUGGAAACAACAACCACCCUUACUAGUGAUCACUAUAAGGGCGGCUGGAACAGCAGCCGCCCUGAGCAUUAGUAAGGGCGACUGGUGUCUCAGCCGCUCCUAUUCUCUGCAUUUGUAAGGGCGGUUCAAUCUAGAACUGCCCCUACAGUUAUUUUUUAGAAAAAAUAAAAUAAAAAUUACAAUAAUCAAAUUGACAGCACAGCACAACAUAUAUAUAUAUAAUCAGAUUCAUGUUGACGGUAUUUAAUGCUCACAUUUAACUGUCAACUAAUCAUGGAAAAGGAUCCAAAUGCAACUAAUACCUAGACUUAGGGAUUUAUCUGACAGAAUUCCACGAGUUUUGGUGUUUGUCUGUUUCUGUAGGGAGUUAUCAGGAAAUAUGGAGGAAAGGCUCACACGUCGGGUUUAUAUUGAGAUAUUAACGUGUGCACUAAUUUUCUAUCAUCUAGAAGACUCCAGAAGCCACGGGAACGAACGAGAGGCCGAGCGGGCCUGGGGGCAGGGCGCCUGCCCUUCCCCCUUGGGCGCCCGCACUGCUACAGGAGCCAAUCAGGCUCGGCCUCGCGGAUUAUGCUCCACCGAACUAAAGGAUUAAGGAAAACCAUGCGAUUAAGGUCGGUUUGAUCCGACGGCCUACAUUCAUUUGGAGGAGCUAUAUAAGCAGGCCCCCUGGCCCCUGGAGAACAUACCUCUUCUACAGAAUCAAAGUUAAGGUUUCAAUUAUUCAUCCAAGUAGAGAGAAUCCCUCUAGUUCAUCUAGUUCUAGUUCUAGUUCAUCUAGUUCUAGUUAGUUCUAGUUAUAAUCUAGAAAAUAGGUAGAGAGAAGAGGAGAGCGGAGGAGCCGGAUCCGUUGGAUCUUCCUCAACAUUGUACUUUUGCAGCAACUAGUUCGUUCUCCAAGUUCUUCAAUUCAUAAUUCCUGAGUUCUUUAAUUACUUUUAUUUACAUUCAAGAUAUUUAUUGGAUUCCCGCUUGCUUCAAGUGCUCUAGUCUUUGAAACGCUAGAGUAGUAAUUAAUAGAUUAGACGUGGUGUUUAGUCUUGCAAUUACCUGGAAUUGCACCCAAUCCUGCGGAUUGUUGUGGUAGCCCUAGGGUAGUGACAGCCCUAACGGUCGACGUAUUCCACCUCGUUCGGAUCCGUGUUUGUAGGACCGUAGUUAGAGCUUCGUAGCCCCCUUCUCAUCUCUUUCUGUGGUUAGUGUUCUGAUGUCCCGAAAUAAAUAAUCUUUGAAGUAAUUCUUGAUUCUUAGAUCAACUAGAGAACUCUCAGGAAACUUCCUCUCUUCCCACCAAAAAUAAUUAUAUAGUUAUCCUUUGGCGAUCUUGAAUCUUAAUUAGUACACUCACAUUCCCUGUAGAAAAUCGAUACUCUGGAAUACUCCCGGGUGAAAGCUACAUCAGUAUCCGUAUGCUUGCGGAUUUUUCUGUUUGCGUUUAAAAUACCCAACAAGCUUUCUGGCGCCGUUGUCGGGGAACGGUAGCUGUGCUAGUUUCGAACCAAGUCGUCCGUGUAUCCUUUUUCUUUUCCUUUUUUACCACACUCACCUUACCAUUUUCAUCAUACCACAUGGAUUUCACUCCAAACAUUAAUGAGCAUGGAAUUUAUUUCAUAGCCACUUCUUCUACUCCAUGCUCAUAUGCAACAUCUUCCCAAUCUAUUGGUCUCUCCAACAUCACCACAUUCGAGAUCUCCAACCCCCUCUUCCUUUCUAUUUAUAAAAACUUUAAAAGGGCGGUUGUCGAUGCAUAUGUCUAUAAUAAAUUUUGCAGAUCUCGUUGAGUUGAUCUUGAUAUAGGUCAGCGUUGGAGGGGAAACCACUUCGCCGACAUAAAUUGAUGGUUUCCCAAGGACAAUCUUAGUGUCCUAAAAUAAGCACUGAUCAGAUCGUAACAUGAGCUUUUAAUUAUUUGCAACAUUGAAAGGUCCAAAUGGCUAGAGGGGGGGUGAAUAGCCUAUUCAAAAAUUCUACAAACUUCACUAAGCAAGUGAGUUAGUAAAACAAAUGGCGAAGCAAUUCUAGCACUAGCUCAACUAAGCUAUGCAAGCCACCUAUACAAACUAGUACAAGGCUAAAUACUAAAGCACAACAACAAGAGAACUAAGCUAAACAAGCUACACAACUAGCAAGGUAUGCACAAAAGUAAAGGAGAGGUGAGUGAUUGUUAUACCGACGUUGUAGAGUAAAAAUAUAGCCAAUCAAUCAAUCACAACAAUAAGAGAAUCCUCGGCAAUAAAUGACACAAGAUUUUUUACCGAGGUUCACUUGCUUCCCGGCAAGCUAGUCCUCGUUGUGGCGAUACACUCACUUGAUGGAUCACGAGCUAAUUGGCAAUCCAAAGCCAAACCCUCAGCGGGUGCCGCACAUCCACUCACAAGAUGGGGAUCCUCCAAGCCACGAGCAAUCCACUAGAGUAGCCAAUUGCGAUCUCCCGCGGGGAAGGCUCAAGAACCCCUCACAAAUCACUUGGUGAGGCUCGAAACAAUCUCCAAUCACGAGCUCAACACCACCGCUGCUCCAAGCCGUCUAGGGCGUCGGGAGACACCCAAGAGUAACAUGAAAUCCGCAGCAAACUCAAGAAUCAAGUGCCACUAAAUGCAACUCUCAAAGCAAUGCACUUGAAUCUCACUCAAUCUCACUAGGAUUAGCAAUCAAGCAAGGAGAUGAGUGGAGGGAGUGUUCUCUAGCUCAAAGUAUGUCUCAAAGAAAGGGGGAGAGAAGGUUUUGCUUUUUUUUUCUUUUUCAAAUAAAUUUUCAAACUCUUUUUAAAAUUGAAUUUGAAUUCAAACUCUUUUGUUCAAAACCACACAUCACAAAAGAAAUUGCGCCAGCAUGAAUGCAGCAUAAAAUGUUAAUCUAAACUUAUAUUUAAUUUUAAUUUCCCAAAUUUAUUUAUUUUUCCUAUAUUUUGAUGCUCACAUAAAUGAAUUUAAUUAAACUCAAUUCUUCUAUUUUAAAGAAAUAAAAUUUGGGUGUUACAAAGGUCUUGUGUUCUUGCAUGUCUUUUCAGUUUUGUCGUGUUCAUGCAUGUCUUUUCGAUCGGUUUUGUCGUGUUCAUGCAUGUCUUCCCAAGGAGUCAAAAUGCAUACAAGCCAACGCAAGAAAAGUAUG
rnacentral:lncRNA from 1 species